rnacentral:rRNA from 1 species
AGCAGCCGCGGUAAUUCCAGCUCCAAUAGCGUAUAUUAAAGUUGUUGCAGUUAAAAAGCUCGUAGUUGAAUUUCGGGAUCAGUAUGUUGGUCGUGCCUCGGUACGUACUAGCAUAUUGGUUUCUCCUUUCUGAAGAACCAUGAUGUCAUUCAUUUGGUGUCGGUGGGGAAUCAGGACUUGUUUACUUUAGAAAAAAUUAGAGUUAGUUUAAAGC